UACGGAGGGUGCGAGCGUUGUCCGGAAUCAUUGGGCGUAAAGGGCGCGUAGGUGGCCCGGUCAGUUCGUGGUGAAAGCGCGGGGCUCAACCCUGCGUCGGCCAUGAAUACUGCCGCGGCUGGAGCACUGUAGAGGCAGGCGGAAUUCCGGGUGUAGCGGUGGAAUGCGCAGAUAUCAGGAGGAACACCAAUAGCGAAGGCAGCUCGCUGGGACGGUACUGACGCUGAGGCGCGAAAGCCAGGGGAGCAAACGGG
rnacentral:rRNA from 1 species